GGACAGGUGUCCGAGUGGCUGAAGGAGCCGGUCUCGAAAACCGGUGUGCCGGUAACGGUACCGUGGGUUCGAAUCCCACCCUGUCCG
rnacentral:tRNA from 1 species